rnacentral:rRNA from 1 species
GACGAACGCUGGCGGCGUGCUUAACACAUGCAAGUCGAACGGGAAGGCCCUGCUUGCAGGGUACUCGAGUGGCGAACGGGUGAGUAACACGUGGGUGAUCUGCCCUGCACUUCGGGAUAAGCCUGGGAAACUGGGUCUAAUACCGGAUAGGAGCCAUUUUUAGUGUGAUGGUUGGAAAGUUUUUUCGGUGUAGGAUGAGCUCGCGGCCUAUCAGCUUGUUGGUGGGGUAAUGGCCUACCAAGGCGGCGACGGGUAGCCGGCCUGAGAGGGUGGACGGCCACAUUGGGACUGAGAUACGGCCCAGACUCCUACGGGAGGCAGCAGUGGGGAAUAUUGCACAAUGGGCGCAAGCCUGAUGCAGCGACGCCACGUGGGGGAUGACGGCCUUCGGGUUGUAAACUCCUUUCGCUAGGGACGAAGCUUUUUGUGACGGUACCUAGAUAAGAAGCACCGGCUAACUACGUG